UACAGGGGGUGCAAACGUUGCUCGGAAUUAUUGGGCGUAAAGCGCGCGUAGGCGGCUACUUAAGUCGGAUGUGAAAGCCCUUGGCUCAACUGAGGAAGUGCACCCGAAACUGAGUGGCUUGAGUACUAAAGAGGGUCGCGGAAUUCCCGGUGUAGAGGUGAAAUUCGUAGAUAUCAGGAGGAACACCAGUGGCGAAGGCGGCGAUCUGGGAAGAUACUGACGCUGAGGUGCGAAAGCGUGGGGAGCAAACAGG
rnacentral:rRNA from 1 species